rnacentral:rRNA from 1 species
UACAGAGGGGGCAAGCGUUGUUCGGAAUUACUGGGCGUAAAGGGCUCGUAGGCGGCCAACUAAGUCAGACGUGAAAUCCCCAGGCUCAACCUGGGAACUGCGUCUGAUACUGGAUGGCUUGAAUCCGGGAGAGGGAUGCAGAAUUCCAGGUGUAGCGGUGAAAUGCGUAGAUAUCUGGAGGAAUACCGGUGGCGAAGGCGGCGUCCUGGACCGGCAUUGACGCUGAGGAGCGAAAGCCAGGGGAGCAAACGGG